CCGUCGAUAGCUCAGUUGGCAGAGCGGUAAACUGUAGAUCCAUAGGUCGCUGGUUCGAAUCCGGCUCGACGGA
rnacentral:tRNA from 1 species